GAUGAACGCUAGCGGGAGGCUUAACACAUGCAAGUCGAGGGGCAUCACGAGGUAGCAAUACUUUGGUGGCGACCGGCAGACGGGUGAGUAACGCGUAUGCAACCUACCCUGUACAGGGGGAUAACCCGGAGAAAUUCGGACUAAUAUCCCAUAAUAUUAUUGGAAGGCAUCUUUUGAUAAUUAAAGUUCCGGCGGUACGGGAUGGGCAUGCGUAACAUUAGCUGGUUGGUAAGGUAACGGCUUACCAAGGCUUUGAUGUUUAGGGGUCCUGAGAGGGUGGUCCCCCACACUGGUACUGAGACACGGACCAGACUCCUACGGGAGGCUG
rnacentral:rRNA from 1 species